UCUACGGGAGGCAGCAGUGAGGAAUAUUGGUCAAUGGGCGGAAGCCUGAACCAGCCAAGUCGCGUGAGGGAAUAAGGCCCUACGGGUCGUAAACCUCUUUUGCCGGGGAGCAAGGGCGGGGACGUGUCCCGGCCCGGAGAGUACCCGGAGAAAAAGCAUCGGCUAACUCCGUGCCAGCAGCCGCGGUAAUACGGAGGAUGCGAGCGUUAUCCGGAUUUAUUGGGGUUAAAGGGAUCGUGGGCGGGACUGCAAGUUGGGUGUCAAAUCUACCGGCCCAACCGGUAGCCGCACUCAAAACUGCAGUUCUUGAGUGAAGUAGAGGCAGGCGGAAUGCCUAGUGUAGCGGUGAAAUGCGUAGAUAUUAGGAGGAACACCAGUGGCGAAGGCGGCCUGCUGGGCUUUUACUGACGCUGAGGCUCGAAAGUGUGGGGAGCAAACAGGAUUAGAUACCCGGGUAGUC
rnacentral:rRNA from 1 species